rnacentral:rRNA from 1 species
AUUGAACGCUGGCGGCAUGCCUUACACAUGCAAGUCGAACGGUAACAGGUUAAGCUGACGAGUGGCGAACGGGUGAGUAAUGUAUCAGAACGUGCCCAGUCGUGGGGGAUAACUACUCGAAAGAGUGGCUAAUACCGCAUACGACCUGAGGGUGAAAGCGGGGGACCGUAAGGCCUCGCGCGAUUGGUGCGGCCGAUAUCAGAUUAGCUAGUUGGUGGGGUAAAAGCCCACCAAGGCGACGAUCUGUAGCUGGUCUGAGAGGACGACCAGCCACACUGGGACUGAGACACGGCCCAGACUCCUACGGGAGGCAGCAGUGGGGAAUUUUGGACAAUGGACGCAAGUCUGAUCCAGCCAUGCCGCGUGCGGGAAGAAGGCCUUCGGGUUGUAAACCGCUUUUGUCAGGGAAGAAACGAGUUUCUCUAAUACAGAGACCUAAUGACGGUACCUGAAGAAUAAGCACCGGCUAACUACGUGCCAGCCGCCGCAGUAAGAC